rnacentral:tRNA from 1 species
UUAAAUGAAACCAAAAAGAGGUCUAUCACUGUUAAUGAUAAUAAUGAAUUAAUUCCAUUUAAA